GACAAGUUGAUUUUCCGUCAGAUUUCCAUAUCUACUUUCAUCUUGCUGAACCUCAAUGUCAACACACUGCAAAUAUAUGAAGAAGAAGAAAUUUCAACACAAAAUUGCAGCUGAUCCCAAGUUCUCCACUUUUUAUGCCUAGAUGCAGGUCAUUACACCAAGUCAAGAAGCAAGUCAGUCUAGUCCUACUAAAUGCGGGGCACUGGAAAUUGUUCUGAGAGAAUGAAUCAUCAAGAGGAAGAACUUCAAAGAAAAUCCUGACUAACAAUAGUAUUUAAGGUAAUAGUAAACAUAUGCCAAGUUAGUUCCGAUCAAAACACUGAUUGACGUUCUAAAGCUAAGGUCAUGUAAAAAUGCAAAAGGCUUGAGCAACAUUCAGGCCCAAUUUUCAGUAAGCAGGAUAAUACAUAAACACGUAUAUCCCUUA